CUUCCUGUGUGCCAUCUUCAGCUUCUCCUGGGGAAUACGGAUACACCUCCAAUCCAGCAUCCAGCAGCUUUGGCAAGAGGAAAGGACAGAACAGAUGGACAAAGAAAUACCGUCACGGUGCAGGACAAAGGAAAAAGAAGAGGAAGAGAGGAAGGAAGAAGGAAAGAUAAAGAUGUGAGCCUCUCCCUGCUCCAGCUGUGAAACACACCCUGGUGAUUCCCAUGUAUUAUGGCUGUCCUGUGAACUGCAGCCUGGUGUCUCACUCUGGGCUAAUCUAGCUUCACAAGACGUCACUUAAAUUUUUUUUUUUAAUGAUUCAGAAAGAAAAUUUACUCUGCAUCAUUCAAGUAAAUCCAUGUGAUCUUGAGGCAAAAGCUGGAUCUUCUGUAGAAAUUGACACACUCCUACAACUCUGAUAAUAUGGAUACAUUCUAAAUGUGCCCCAUAGGAAAUGCAGUUUUGCCUGCUAUUUGUUUGUUUGUUUAAAAAGAAGAAUUACCUGGAAUUAAUGACUAAAAUGCAGUAAGAUUCAAGAAGGUGGAAAAAAUUACAGUGAAAAAGAGUUGUUUAUUGACUGAGCUGGUACCUAUGUUUCAUAUGCUGAACAAAUUAAGCAUGCUAAAUCCCUGUUGUAGAAGUUUACAUUUCAGAGAAACAAGCUGUUAAAAGAAGAACAUUCCAAUGACUGAAGUUCCAAAGAGCACUCCUGUCUAAUAAAGUAUUUCUUGAUACCAUGCAGCCCGAAACACUGCAGCUCUGCAACAGGAUUUUAAAAAUCACACUGAACCUGACUGAAUAGAACUAAACCACUUUUGUUACCUGGUUUGAAGAACUUGUGGGAAAAAAAAAAAAAAAAAAAAAAAAAAAAAAAAAAAAAAAAAAAAAAAAAAAAAAAAGCUACAUAAGGCAGAACACACUGGUUUUAAUUUUUAUGUAGCUACCACACAGAAGACCUGUUUUUAAAUGCACCUGCUUUCAGAUGGAUAGGAUUGCUGGAAAGAAAGUCUGAAGUUUUUUAGAAAUGCCUGUAACUCACAGACUAAGAAUCAAAAUUAUUUACAUAGUAUCAGAAAGCUGUGUUUAAUCAUCAAUACAUGAGUUUUUGCUUUUCCAUCCAUUUAGGGAAUGCGGAAGGAGCCUCCAGGGCCUAAAAUCUGGCAAGGCAGUGAGACUGCAGCACACAAAUGCCAUGGCCACACCCUGGUUCCCUAGGAGAAAGGUGACUGGAGCUACAGGUGUGUUCCAUGCUGGUUGUAGGGAAGGUGCUCCAUUUCAGGACUGAAAGCUUCAGAGAGAGAAGAGAGAAAAUUGGCAUUCUGAGCAGACAGCAAAAUGUUUGAAUGUGUGCCAAGCACAUCCUGGAAGUGCUUGGGAUCUGAUCUGAGGCUCUCUUUUUAAGGAGACUGAUGGAAUUUAGGCUUGGUUUAGGGGUUUUGUGUGGUGGAAAAGUUUUUUUUUUUUUAAUUUGUGUUUUUAAAGAAAAACUUAGUAGUUUUUUGUUGUUUGGUUUUAAGAUAGAUAGUUCAUUAUAAGUUAUUUAAAAGAUUUUUUUUUUUGGUUAUUGUGGUUUGGUUAGUAGUUUUGGUAGAGGUAUACACACUUUCGACACUUUUUUUGUUUUUUGAUUUUUUUUUUCCUUGCUUUUGGUUGUUAUUUUUUAUAUGGUAUAUUAUGUGAUAAAUGUUUAUAGUUUUUCUUUAAUAUUUAUUAUUUAUAUUAAAUGAUGUUUUUUUAAUUUAAACUAAUUUGUAAGUGUUAACAUUAUUAAAACCAUGGAGGUAAGGAAGAAGAGGAAGGACAGGACUAGCUAAAAAUUUCUGUAUUUUAAAACUUUUGACUCUUAUGUAUAAAGUAAAAACCCUCCAGUAUAGGUGUUAAAACUUCGUUGUAUAAUACUAAAAAAUCCUUUCUUCUACUUUGUAACUAUUUUUAUUAUAAUAUUUAAACUUUUGUGACUUUUUGUUCUUCUUGUAAAGUUGGUAAAUCAUUCUAUGACUUAAAAUUACAGCUGUUUUCAGCUGCCUGCUAGGGUCUUAAAUGCUUUUGACUGGGGCCUGGAACCUCCAAAAAUGUCUGAGGGACAUUUUGAGUUCCAACAGGAGACAACAGCAGGACAAGCACUGGACACACAGUGCCAGCUCUUCCCUGCUCCCCUGCAUCUUCCUGCAUCCAUACAUUGAGCCUGAACCAAGAUCAUUUGCAGAGAAGGAGAAGAUGGAACUUCAUACAAGAUCCUGCAGAAAGAAUUUUCUGUCAUUUUGUCACCCAGCAGAAAUACAAGAUGCUGGAUGGAAAGUCCAAUGUUUUGCCAAAAAGAACAAAGACUCCAGCUUUUUGAAUCUGACAUCUAGCUACAACAGAACAGAAUGUGGAUCCCAGGAGGAUGGACUGGCUUUGUGCACUGGUCAGGCACUGGAAUUGUUCAUAAUUGCUUCUCCCCUCCCUAACUGCAGACAACUGAACACCAAGGAGUAAAUCCUUUCUUCUUGAUUCCAACAUCCUCAUUCUUUCGGUCCACAAACUGCUGCAUCUGAACAGUCAGCCCAAAGCACAUGAAAGAUGCAGGCCUGGUUUUAGAAGAUGAACUAAUGACAACUGUUUUGUUAUUCUCCAGUUGAAGAUACUGCCCUGCUCUGGAAGAGCAGUACGGAAUACAGGGCACAAAAAACCCAAACCGAAACACAAACAUGAGGACAAACAUCCAUAUUACAGAACUCUGAUGCCUGCUUAAACUCCAGAACUGUCAGGGAACAUUUCUCCCACCUCUCCUCUCUGCUACCUGCUUUAUGUCCCCCAGCAUGGGGUUCAUCACUGUUUCUCUAUCAUUUGCAAAGGGCCACAUCCCAAGAGCCCCAAAUCCAAUACUUUCCUCCCUCAACUCGACUUGAUGAUCCAGAUGCGUCCCUUCCAGCUGGGAAUAUUCUGUUCUGUGAUUCCAGCACAGGUCCAGUGGAUGAGAAGAGGCUGCGCUGAAACAGGAUUUCCUACACUCCUGGGAAUGAUGAGAUAAACCUCCAAUGGGAAGGAAAUACAGGAUAAACCAGGUGGUUGGUAUUCUACACACUUCCUUUGGGAAGACAGACCUGAGCUGGGAAAGGUCAGCCACGUGCUUUUCAUUUCGUUUCCAUGACCAUAAUAACAUCACAGCCUGGAGCCAUGCUAGGUAGUGCUGCAAAGGGAAUUAUAUCCAUUAGUUUACAAACUGAGAGACUGAAACUACGUUGGAGACACAGAUAUGUACCUAUUUGCCUAUCUAAAGAGAAUAUUUAAUUUUCCAUUAAUAAAUUUAGGAAGCCUGUAAUGAGAA